GACGAACGCUGGCGGCGUGCCUAACACAUGCAAGUCGAACGGGACUAUUUAGUGAUGAUUUCGGUCUGAACUUUACAGUUUAGUGGCGGACGGGUGAGUAACGCGUGGAUAACCUGCCUUUCACAGGGGGAUAGCAGCUGGAAACGGCUGGUAAUACCGCAUACGCUCAUGUCACCGCAUGGUGAUAUGAGGAAAGAUUUAUCGGUGAAAGAUGGAUCCGCGUCUGAUUAGCCAGUUGGCGGGGUAACGGCCCACCAAAGCGACGAUCAGUAGCCGGCCUGAGAGGGCGGACGGCCACAUUGGGACUGAGACACGGCCCAG
rnacentral:rRNA from 1 species